rnacentral:lncRNA from 1 species
AUAAACAAUUUAGGAGGUCAUUUGCCUAUUACGUGUUAGCUGUAAACUUUGUUGUUGGAGAAGCUUUUGGUGAUUGUGAUUGGUGCUUAGGAGGAAAAUGAGAUUAUUAUUGGGAUGGGCCUGUGUAUUGAUGUAAUGGGAUGUAAGCUAUUUUAUUAAUCCGAAACGUUUAAAAGUGAUGUUCUGAGUUUUUAGAAAAGCUCCCAACUGUUCGCGUUGUUUAAGUUUUGUUUAUGUUUGAAGAGGUUGCACCACAAUUGUUAAUUUGACUGAGUAAGCAGUGAAAGUUGAGAUUUUAGUAGAAAUGAUAACUUGCUUUCUUGAUCGCGUGAAUGUUCUUUAGCUUAUUGCAAGUGGUGCACAUGCUACAAAAGGUUUUUCGUUAAAGAAACUCGUACUACAGUAAAGUUCUGUGAGGGUUUGAUCGUUUGCUAAAACCAAUUUAGAGUAAGCAUAAACUGUAAAAGAC